AGGGGCUGCUGCCUCACCCGUACAGAGCCCCCCGUCCUGGGUUGUGCCCAGCUUUGGGUGACGCCUCAGCCAAUGGGAAUGGGCAGCGGUCACCCCAAAAUUUGGGGUCUGGGUGGCAGAGGUGACUGCAGCCCAGGUGCCCUCAGGCAAUGGGGACGGUCCCCUCCAUGUCCCCGGGCCGGGAGGGGGAUUGUGAAUGCAGAGAGGAGCUGAGACACCCGAGGAAAAUGUGGGGGCUGGGGUAAGAGACACUGAUUGAAUAGCAAUGACUGCAUGAUUUAUGGUUUGCAUUAUUGCAUGCUUCAUUUGAAUAUAUGCUAAUAAGGCUUUUCUCCUCGUUUUGUUUGUAAGAUUUAGAUUUGCUAUGGCAACCCGCUGGCAUGGAAGGAACGCCAGGAAAUGUCAGGGCGAGAACUGUGGGAUGCCACAUUGCGCUGACUCCAAAGAUCACACCGAGGAACCUGCAGCUUUUCAGAGGGGGACAAUGCUCAGGAUGGCACUGGGAAGAGAUGAAGCACUGCUCUGCAUUCCCCACCCACCCAUCCUGCAUGGCCCUGAUUCUCCAGGAUCUGGGCCGCCUCUGUGGCUCUGCGUUCCUUCCCAUCAAGCUGGGGAGCCACCCCAUUAAAACCCGUUACCUGCAGGCCCAGCGUGGCCAGGGAAUGUGCUGCUCCAGGAGGGUGCUGUGCUCUGGUGCUGGGGGCUGCAGAGAUGGUAGGGCUUUGUCCCCUGCUCUGCGCUGUCACACCUUCAUCCAGGCAGCAGCUGCAGGGGGGCAGAGCUCUGUGUGCCCCAACUUGAGUGGCUGCAGACCUUGCAGCCCAAGGGUCUGUUUGCUGGAGAAGAAGCAUGCUGUCUGGUUUUGGGGUCCCCGCCCCGCAGUGGUGUGGGAGCAGCCCCAUGGGAAUGGAUCACAGCCCAGAGGGACAGGGGCUGAUUCUCUGUGUUCCUUGGGGUUAUGGUGAUAGAGGGGGUGGGAGGACCAUCUCCUGUCAGAUCCCUACGGCCACGUAUGAACACAGAGCAGUGCCAGGAGGGCUCUGCGGCUGAGCACUGCAUGUCCCUGCAGCCACCCGAUGGGACGGACCGGGACCCCUCUCCAUUUCACGCCCUUUAACUCAGGGUUCGAGCUCCGGGCUGGGGACGAGGGGCUGGGAUCCCGCAGCACGGCGUUGUCCGGCCCCUCCUCGCUUCCCGUCGCAGCAAACCGGGGCCGAGCUGAGAACCGGGAAGGGGGGUGUUGCCGAGCCCCCUCCUCCCCGCGUCGGUGCAUCCUCCCCGAACUCCCUCUCGGUUGUUUUGCACAAACCCUGAAAUAUUCAUGGCACUGCGCCGAGUGUCUCUUAAUGAAUUUUUCAUCAAAACCUUAUCAGGGAGCCAAAAUACACCUCUCCCCCACCCCAAACUCCAGCCGAAAUCGAGGAGGGACCGGGCCCGCCGGUACCGUGCCGCCGGAGGAGCCGAGCCCGGCCCGAGGGCGACGGC
rnacentral:lncRNA from 1 species